rnacentral:rRNA from 1 species
UACGUAGGGUGCGAGCGUUAAUCGGAAUUACUGGGCGUAAAGCGUGCGCAGGCGGUUUUGUAAGCCAGAUGUGAAAGCCCCGGGCUCAACCUGGGAACUGCAAUGGAAACUGGCGGGCUUGAGUGUGGCAGAGGGGGGGUGGAAUUCCGCGUGUAGCAGUGAAAUGCGUAGAGAUCCGGCGGAACACCGGUGGUGAAGGCGGUCUCCUGGGCCGAGGGCCGACGCUGAGGCGCGAGAGCGUGGGGAGCGAACAGG